UACCAACCACAGCUUUCUUGGCCAUAGUGUUACGAUAUCAAUGAGGGUUGCCAUCAGCUGGUCACAAAAAAUUGCUUAAUUCUUUUCUGGAACCUUCAAGUUUUGUGUUCUUGUUGAUUCCAUCGUGACCUUUACAUUCACUGUCACAUGGCUUGUUUUAUAUGUGAGAUCGAUACCUUAUUUGUUAUUGGAUAUAUAUUGAUUCACAGGACCUUUAGGUAUAAAUAUUAUUGAAUAGACAAUCACAAGAUUCAGUUCUAGUGAAGGUAUUGUACUCUAUACAUCUUUCGCUCUCUUUGCCAGGGUUAUGGACUUGGGGGCCAGGUCCAGGUUUUAUCCAACCUGGACUUGGACCUUAUAGGGGAUCAGGUCGAAAUGGUCAUCCAUAUUGUGCCCAUCAAUCAAUGGAGCCUGGUUUGUACUGGGGUGUAUAUGGAACUAUAAGAGUCAUCAUGUCUGUGGGGUGGGUAUGGUUAAGUGUGGUCUGGGUCCAAGUUUGAUUAGCCAAUGGAUCCAUAUGACAAAAGCCAGACAACGAUUAAGAAUGAAGAGAUGAUAAUGAAUGAUUAUGGAACCUUUGAUGGAAGGCAAAACAAGAGUACAAGGGAAGGUGGCUGAAGCCUGGAAGGAAAACUUAAAUUUAUUAA
rnacentral:lncRNA from 1 species